GGUCAAGUGAAGAAGCGCAUACGGUGGAUGCCUUGGCAGUCAGAGGCGAUGAAAGACGUGGUAGCCUGCGAAAAGCUUCGGGGAGUCGGCAAACAGACUGUGAUCCGGAGAUGUCUGAAUGGGGAACCCAGCUGUCAUAAGACAGUUAUCUCAUGCUGAAUACAUAGGCAUGCGAGGCGAACCAGGGGAACUGAAACAUCUAAGUACCCUGAGGAAAAGAAAUCAACCGAGAUUCCCUUAGUAGUGGCGAGCGAACGGGGACCAGCCCUUAAGUUGGUUUGAGAUUAGCGGAACGCUCUGGAAAGUGCGGCCAUAGUGGGUGAUAGCCCUGUACGCGAAAAUCUCUUGUCAAUGAAAUCGAGUAGGACGGG
rnacentral:ncRNA from 1 species